rnacentral:lncRNA from 1 species
AAAUAAGGAUUAAUUGGACUAUUAUAAUUAUCUAAGUAAGGAUUAAACUCAAAAGUAGUGAUGCUAAAGUAAUUAAACUAAAAAGAAAAAAAAAUACCAAUGAUAUAAAAUUCCAGUCUAUGAAUAAUCUCAUAAAAGGCAGUGUAAUAAAGCAUCAAUACACAUUCAUACCAUAAUAAAAUGAAUCUUCUUAUAGAAAUAGAACAAAAAAUCAAGAGCUUCGAGCCAAUAAAGACUGAGAAGAUUGACUCAAGAACCAAUUUCAUUCUGAGCUCCAUUUUAGAGACCAAAAAAAGGAGAGUAGAUUGGCUGGUUUUUCCAGUCAAGUAUAGUUGAAAAUCCCAUUUCCAAAUAUGAAUUUGAAUAGAACUUUGAAUAGAAGAUUAGAUUUUUAUGUCAUCAAUCUAAUA